UCCUCCGUAGCUCAGUGGUAGAGCACUGGCUUUGUAAACCAGGAGUCGUGAGUUCAAUCCUCACAGGAGGCA
rnacentral:tRNA from 1 species